GCUUACGACCACACCGGCCUGAGUACGCCUGAUCUCGUCUGAUCUCGGAAGCUAAGCAGGGUCGGGCCUGGUUAGUACUUGGAUGGGAGACUUCCUGGGAAUACCAGGUGCUGUAAGUC
ensembl:rRNA 5S_rRNA 5S ribosomal RNA